rnacentral:lncRNA from 1 species
GCAGUUGCUUUAGAUAAUCAUCAUGGCCUCUUCAUCAAUUUGCUUUCAAGACAUAUAUAUAUAUAUAACCUUUGCAACCCAUAUCUGCCUCCCACCAAAACACAGUCGAAAAUAUUAGGUGAUCCGAAAUAAAACGAAGAGGCUAAUAGAGACGCAAAGUAGCUACUCACCUUAUUAAAUCAUAACUGAAGCAUAUUCGAUCCACCAACAUCUCAAACUUUAGUACUUUUCGUUCUGAAUUUGAACGAUCGUCUCAAACUUUAGUAUUUUUCGUUCUAGAUUUAAACUAACAUCUCAAACUUUAGUGCUUUCUUUUUAGAUUUAGACUAUAUCAAUAGAGAUUUGAUCUUCAAAAUAGAAUACGACCCAAUCUGGUUUUGAAAACAUUUUCUGUCCAACAUGAAGAAUAAAUACCCCAUCAGAUCUUGUGAUUUUUAUCUGAAGAUGGUGAAGGAAAAGUUAGGAACAUAAGCAAACAAAAAAAUGAAAAUAGGAACAUAAGCAAAAAGAUAUAACAACAGAAAAGGAGAAGCUAGAAGUUCUUAUCGGAGAUGACUACAACUAGUACGAGAUGGAGGAAGGAUUUCGAGUUUCGACGGAGAAAUUGUUAGAAAAAGAAGAGAGAAAAGAGAGAAAAGAGGAGUUGGAGAAGAAGAUGAGAGAGAAUGAUUAUUUGAUUCUGAAAAUUAAAUUGGAAUAAAGUAAUAAAGAGUAAGUUUGAAUUUUAAAUUUAUUUUUUUUAGAAUUUUCUUCACCAUACCUUCGAUUUUAUCCUCACUGUCAGAUCAAAUUUGG